CUACGGGCUGCACCAGUGGGGAAUCUUGCACAAUGGAGGAAACUCUGAUGCAGCGAUGCCGCGUGAGUGAAGAAGGCCCUUGGGUUGUAAAGCUCUUUUGUCGGGAAAGAUAAUGACUGUACCCGAAGAAUAAGGUCCGGCUAACUUCGUGCCAGCAGCCGCGGUAAUACGAAGGGACCUAGCGUAAUUCGGAAUUACUGGGCGUAAAGCGAGCGUAGGCGGUUAAGUAAGUUAAUUGUGAAAGCCCAAAGCUCAACUUUGGAAUUGCAAUUAAAACUACUUAGCUAGAGUUUAUCAGAGGAAAGCGGAAUACAUAGUGUAGAGGUGAAAUUCGUAGAUAUUAUGUAGAACACCAGUUGCGAAGGCGGCUUUCUGGGAUAACACUGACGCUGAGGUGCGAAAGUAUGGGUAGCGAGAGGAUUAGAUACCCCGGUAGUC
rnacentral:rRNA from 1 species